rnacentral:misc_RNA from 1 species
CAGUAAUAUUCCUUCUUCUUCGAUGGAGUAGCACAAUUUCAUCAAAUUUUGUUUUUCCCUAUUUUCUAUAAGGAAUAAUAUUUUUUGAAUUCCUGAAGAAUCUGAAGCUCUCUUUAACAAGUGUUUAUUAUAUAUACGUAUAUAUAUUAAUUAUUAAGAGUGACGUCUACGGGAUUGGUGGAUUUAUCAACACCCUCACUGGACACAUUCCGUGACAUCCUAAUUCCUUCUCUACAUAAAUAUGUCGGCCGCUGUAGGGGUGGCGGGAAAUCAGGGAAUGGAGGCCCUGAUCCCCAUUGUGAAUCGGAUGCAGGAUGCCUUUACUCAACUUGGAGUUCAUAUGAACAUCGAUCUCCCCCAAAUUGCUGUUGUGGGAGGGCAAUCCGCUGGAAAGUCUUCCGUUUUAGAGAACUUUGUCGGAAGGGAUUUUCUUCCUCGAGGUUCCGGCAUUGUGACUCGCCGUCCUUUGAUUUUGCAACUCAUUAAUUCUCCUCAAGAGUAUGGAGAGUUUUUGCAUGCCAAAGGGCAAAAAUUCAUGGAAUUUAGUUAUAUUAUGAAAGAAAUUGAAGAAGAGACGGAUCGAAUCACGGGCUCGAACAAAGGCAUUUCAAAUUUGCCUAUAAAUUUAAGGGUAUACUCUCCAAAUGUUUUAAAUAUCACUCUCAUCGAUUUACCGGGUCUGACUAAAAUCCCCAUAGGGGAUCAGCCCAAGGACAUAUCAGAGCAAAUCAAAGAUAUGAUCUUAACGUAUAUUACGAGAGAAACAUGUCUUAUCUUGGCAGUCACCCCAGCAAAUACUGAUAUAGCUACAUCAGACUCCCUUAUGCUGGCUAAACAAGCAGACCCUGAGGGAUUAAGAACUAUUGGCGUUCUCACGAAGUUAGAUUUAAUGGACGAAGGUACAGAUGCACGUGAAGUACUUGAGAAUAAACUAUUACCUCUUCGUCGUGGUUAUGUUGCCGUCGUCAAUCGAUCCCAAAAGGAUAUUGAUGGUAAAAAGGACAUAAAAACUGCCAUGGGAGCAGAGAGGAAAUUUUUUCUUAGUCACCCUGCAUAUCGCAACAUGGCUGAUCGAUUAGGAUCUCCAUAUUUGCAAAAAGUUCUCAAUCAACAGCUCACCAAUCAUAUUCGUGAGACCCUUCCAGGCCUUCGCGACAAGCUUCAAAAGCAAUAUUUGUCAUUAGAGAAAGAAGUUGAGCAAUACAAAUACUUUAGACCCGAUGAUCCAUCAAUUAAAACCAAAGCCAUGCUUCAGAGUAUUCAACAGUUACAACAGGACUUUGAGAGAGCCAUUGAAGGAAGUGGCUCCUCUACCGUGAAUACCCUUGAACUCUCUGGAGGAGCCAAAAUUAAUAGACUUUUCCACGAAAGAUUUCCCUACGAAAUUGUUCGUAUGGAGUUUGAUGAAAAAGAACUGAGGCGAGAAAUUGCCUUUGCCAUUCGAAAUAUACACGGAAUACGGAUCGGACUUUUUACACCUGGAGAUGCUUUUGACAUUGUAGCACGGAAACAGAUCACUCAAUUACGUGGACCCUCACUUCGCCUCUUGGAGCUCGCAUCCACUGAGCUAAUGAAAAUGGUGUACGAUAGCCUUGAUGUCUCGAAGAUGAAUAGAUAUCCUCGUCUAAGGGAAGAAACAGAAAGAAUCAUUACGACUUAUAUAAGAGAAAAGGAGCAAAAAUGCAAGGAUCAAAUAUUGUUACUUAUAGACAGUGAAUUGGCUUAUAUGAAUACUAAUCAUGAGGAUUUCAUUGGAUUCGCCAAUGCUCAGAACACGACGCAAAAUGCUGAAAAGACUGGACGUAAACUUGGGAAUCAAGUUAUUCGUAAGGGAUACAUGUCUAUUCAUAAUUUGGGCAUUAUGAAAGGAGGCUCCAGAGACUAUUGGUUUGUUCUUACAUCUGAGUCACUCUCCUGGUUCAAGGAUGAAGAGGAAAAAGACAAGAAGUACAUGCUUCCCUUGGACAACUUAAAGUUGAGAGACAUGGAGGCUGGUUUCAUGUCACGACGUCAUAUGUUUGCUGUGUACAAUCCAGAAAAUCGUAACAUUUACAAGGACUAUAAGUCUCUGGAGCUCUCAUGUGAGACGCAAGAUGACGUGGACUCUUGGAAAGCUUCUUUCCUCCGUGCGGGAGUGUAUCCUGAGAAAAGCUCAGAGGCUCUUAAUGGGGAUUCAGAGGACACGGCGGCGGAUACGUCAUUAGGCUCAGUGGAUCCUCAAUUGGAGCGUCAAGUUGAGACCAUUCGCAAUCUUGUGGAUUCCUAUAUGAAAAUAGUCACGAAGACGUGUCGGGAUCUCGUUCCAAAGACAAUCAUGUUUCUAAUGAUCAAUGAUGUGAAGGCCUUCAUCAACUCCGAGCUUCUUGCCUGUUUGUAUGCAACCGGUGAUACACAAAACAUGAUGGAGGAAUCUGCUGAUGAGGCCAUCAAGAGAGAAGAAAUGUUACGGAUGUAUCAUGCCUGUAAAGAAGCUCUCAAGAUUAUUGGAGAUGUCUCCAUGGCUACAGUAAGCACUCCUACACCUGCACCUCUAAGGGGUGACUGGAUGGGAUCCUCAAAUCUUGGCACUCCUAUAUCUUCGAAUGCUCCUCCUUCGCCAGGCGGUCUUAGACGAAACCCACCUCCGCCUUCCUCGAGACAACCACCUCAACCUCCUCGUAGUGCACCUGCUGUUCCAAGUAGACCAGGCGGAGCACCACCACCACCAGGACGUCCUGGAGGUGGACUUCCCCCUCCUAUGAUCCCGACUAAUAUGACGGAAGAGGAAGUUUCGGAUGAGGGAGGAGAUAGAAAUCCAUUUUUGAGUGAUGAACCUGAGGCUGUGGGGAGACAGAAUGGUAGAGGGGAAAGUGAUGGAAAGUCCCUUCCAGAAGAGAAGAAUGAAGAAGAAGAUGAAGGGACAAGGAGGACCCCCUCACCUCAACACUCAUCUUCCAAAAAGACAAACUCUUCAUCCAAUCGACAAAGAGGAGGGGGUCUUCGAUCCUUUUUCCUAAGUAAGAAAACUCGAGGAGAUCCAUCUCGGGUCUCAACUAAGAAAAAGAAGAGAAAGGCCCCACUUCUUCCUGCUCCCAAAUCAAAGAAACAACAACCACUCACCAGGGAGGCUCCUUCCAACAACAACAACAACGUAGUCAUCACCAAGGCGUCCAAUCCCUAACGUACCUCCUCGAGUUCCGGACAGGCCUUUGGUUCCUGGUAAUAAACCUAAUGUGGAGAAUCGAAUCAAUUACAUGAAUGGAAAUUUGUCGAAGACGAUUCAAGACUUCUCGCCGCAGGAAGAGUUUCCGUGAUGGUCUACGUCGACUUUUAUAUUACAUUCCCAUACCUGGCAUGUUUUUAAAGAGCUGAAUCGUUUCUCCCAAGAGAUCAAUAUUACCUUUUAAUAAUACAUGCAUAGAAUCAAUCACUUCCUACAUCUUUUAUACUGAUAUUACUUCCUUACUCUUGUCAUAUCAAUUAUAAUAAUCAAUCAUUGUGUCGUCCCUUGCUGAAUUUGUCAGAGAAGCAAGCCUUAUCAAAUCAAAAGCAUCGUCCUUUCUAGUCUAUCUUAUCUGUCAAGUCUCAACACACCACACUACACCAAUAUUACCACCACUUACUUACUUCCUACAUAUCAUAUGCCUCCAUGAUUAAUACCUUUCCUUUGUGACCUCUAUCUAUAUAUAUACUGCAUAUUAUUAAAGCAUAAACUAUACUUA